AAAUUUUAUAUCUUCUGGAUAGUCAUGACAUGUUACUAGACAUCAAUCUUGACUUGUGGACUUACAAGAAUUAAAGAAGUUUAAUUCAGAAAUUAAUUGGAAGGUGUUCUGAUUAAUUGAUGUCGUUGGGCUGAUCUAAUCAGAUUAGGUCAUGAGUUUGAGUCCACUGCUGGCUAGAUAUAGAAUUCAAUGGGUGACACACAAUACAGAUUUGAUCUUAAUCUAAUCUAUUUGGAUUUAUUGUAAAUCUUAUGGGUUAAUUAAAUUGCUAGCACAUGAAUUAACCCAAAUUUUCAAUUGGGUUUAGUGCAAAAGUGUUUGUGCUAACCCUUGAUUGGUUGUCUUAACCUAAUGAGAUUAGGUUCAAUCCUUAAGACAUGAGAUGGCUUAACAAAUUUAUUUUGAAAGUGUUUCACCUAAUCUUGAAUUCCUCGAUGCCAAACCACGUGAAAAUAUUAUGGGACGUCCAAAAUAAAUAGUGGUGAGAAGGAAGAGUUCUUCUCAUCUACUCCUCUUAAUUUCCUUCUUAUCUCCACGCGUUCUUUUAUUUUCAUGCACCAUCAGAUGGCUCUUGGGGAUAUGUUGGUGCAGAAGUGGAGGAGUCCUUCUGCAUGAAGGCUCUUCCACAUCCAAUAACUUUCAUAUGAAGAAUUAAUUCUUUGUGAAAAACUGUGGGACAGUGCGUGGGAUGUAGAUGCGCCAAACAUAUUUUUUCUCCCAUAUCUUUUAUUUCUUACAUGACUAAAAUUAUGUGAUAAUGAGAAGGAAGAGUGCUUCUACUCCUAAACUUUUCCACAUGCUGAUUAAUUGUGAUGAUUUAUUGAAAUCAUUGCGUGAGGAAUGAGAGACACCAAAAGUUGGCAUCCCUUGGAAGUAGGUAGCACUCCUUUCAUUCUUAUUUAAAGGGGGUACUACAUUAGGUUGGUACAUCCCAUUUUUGGCUGAGAAUAGGCAUGAGAAUGAGAGGAAAAGGAUAAGAAAAAUUUGAAAAAAGAGAUAAAGAAAAGGGGAGAGAAAAAUAGAAAAGAAGGUAAGAGAAAAUUGAAAAGUAUGUGAUGCUUGUCCUAAAAUUCAGAUUGUUCAAGUGUUGAACAUCUAAUCUAAUUUUAUGUGGUGAGUUCUUAUAAGGAAUGGUUUCUAGUGUGAUCCUAAUGGAGGAUUCGAAGGCAUACAAGAAGUGGUGCAACCUGUUCUUAAGAAGGACGAACGAUAGUGGACUUGCGAAGAUGGCUGCAGCGCUAUGUCAAUUUGGAAAAGACCCUGAUCUGUCUCGUGUGGAUCACCAUUAGAGGGCUUCUACUUUGGAACCUUAUGAGAUCACUUUGUUGUUAGAUCCUCAUCUUCAUGUUUGGUAUUUGACUUUUAAUCUCUUGUUAAUUGAUAUGCAUGCUUAAAUUGUUUGAUUGUAAUUAUCAAGGAGUUCCUAGGAUUUAUGUUCUGGUAGUCCUGUUUAAUUGUUAAACUUAUUUUCAAUAGUUGAAUGCAUGAAAAUUUUUUAAAAAUUAUAUUUCACUACAUUAUAGG
rnacentral:lncRNA from 1 species